rnacentral:rRNA from 1 species
CGAACGCUGGCGGCGUGCUUAACACAUGCAAGUCGAACGGAAAGGCCCUGCUUUUGUGGGGUGCUCGAGUGGCGAACGGGUGAGUAACACGUGAGUAACCUGCCCUUGACUUUGGGAUAACUUCAGGAAACUGGGGCUAAUACCGGAUAGGAGCUCCUGCUGCAUGGUGGGGGUUGGAAAGUUUCGGCGGUUGGGGAUGGACUCGCGGCUUAUCAGCUUGUUGGUGGGGUAGUGGCUUACCAAGGCUUUGACGGGUAGCCGGCCUGAGAGGGUGACCGGCCACAUUGGGACUGAGAUACGGCCCAGACUCCUACGGGAGGCAGCAGUGGGGAAUAUUGCACAAUGGGCGGAAGCCUGAUGCAGCAACGCCGCGUGCGGGAUGACGGCCUUCGGGUUAUAAACCGCUUUCGCCUGUGACGAAGCGUGAGUGACGGUAAUGGGUAAAGAAGCACCGGCUAACUACGUG